CCGGCCGGGCUGGGGGCUCCUGGUGCUGCCCGUGGGGUGGGAUGCUGGAAUUACCUCUCUGGGUGUGUGCUGAGCUCUGGCUGCAGGGGACUGUCAGGCCUUGGUGGCUCUGUUCCCUGAUGUCCAUUCCCUGGCCUGAAUUCCUUGCAGCUCCCAGCUGGGGAAACCUGGGAUAACAUGGCAGGGACAGAGGUGACAUUUGUAGCUGCCAACUUGGGGUAAUUUCAAAGGGACCCAGCGACUGUUUCUGAAGGAAAAGGUGAGGUGCUGCAGAGGGGAGGGAGGUGGCAUUUUGGAGGGGUCCCACUGAGGGGGGAGUGGAGAGCCUGGGGCUGGAGUGUGAGUUAUUAAACAGGGAAGAAGGGAAGGCUGCUUGGGAGGGAAACACUCAGGGAAUGUGUAGGGAUGGAAUGGAAAUUUGGGGCGUCAGGAAGAGAAAAUGGGUGAUGUAGAGGAAGGGAAAUGUUGGGUGUAAGAGUUGAUGUCAUCUGUAGAGGACAGAAUGACCAUUUAGAGAUAAAGUGAGGCAGUCAGUGGUGGGCAGGUAGGGAAAAUUUGUGUUUGUAAAAUUUCAGGUCACCUGUAGCAGAGAGGAUGUACCUCCUGAUGGACACUGAGGCAGUCAGCAGUGGGCAGGACGGGGGGAAACCUUUGGGGGUAAAACUUGAGGGAACGUCCAGGGCAGAGAGUGAAUAUUUUGAAGGAUAAAUGAGGUACUCAGUGGUGGACAGCUGGGGAGUGUUUUAGGGUAAACUUGAGGUAGCCCACAGGGUAGAGAAUGAACAUGUAUUUGUACAGAACAGGUGAUUACAUGUAGGUAGGUAAGGAGAAUUUUGGGAGUAAAAUGUGUAGCAGAGAGAAUGAGUACCUCGGGGUAAAGUGAGGCAGUCAGUGUUGGGCAGGUAGGGAAAAAUUCUGUUUGUCAAAUUUGAGGUCACGUGGAGCAGAGAAUGUACAUCCUGAGGUAAACUGGGGUAAUCAGUUGUGGACUCGUAGGGAAAAUUGGGGGGGAAAUAUCUGAGGUAAUCUGCAUGGUAGAGGAUGAAUAUUGAGAGAUGAACAUGAGGUACUCAGUGGUGGACUUGUAGGGAAAAUUGUGGGGGUCAAAUCUGUGGCAAUGUGCAGCA